rnacentral:miRNA from 1 species
AAAUAUCAUCGAGAUCGAAGGA